rnacentral:rRNA from 1 species
GCGAACGGCUCAAUAAUAACAAGUUAUAAUUUAGUUGAGUUUGGACAACCAUACUUAAAUUACCGGUGGUAAUUCUUAGAGCAAAUACCUGCACCAAAGCUCCGACCGCGAGGAAAAGAGCGCAUUUAUAAGAACAAACCCCCACGGCUUCGGCCGUCCAAUGUUGGCUCAGAAUAACUAAGCUGAUCGCAUGGUCUUGCACCGGCGACGUUUCUUUCAAGUAUCUGCCUUAUCAACUAUCGAUGGUAGUGUAUCUGACUACCAUGGUGAUGACGGGUAACGGAGGAUAAGGGUUCGACUCCAGAGAAAGGGGCCUGAGAAAUGACCACUACGUCUAAGGAUGGCAGCAGGCGCGCAAAUUACCCACUCUCAGUACGAGGAGGUAGUGACGAGAAAUAACAAGACCGUUCUCACAAGAGGCCGGUCAUUGGAAUGGGUACAAUUUAAACCCUUUAACGAGUAUCUAUGAGAGGGCAAGUCUGGUGCCAGCAGCCGCGGUAAUUCCAGCU